rnacentral:rRNA from 1 species
CCUACGGGCGGCAGCAGUGAGGAAUAUUGGUCAAUGGGCUUACGCCUGAACCAGCCAAGUCGCGUGAGGGAAGACUGCCCUAUGGGUUGUAAACCUCUUUUGUCAGGGAGCAACGCCGGCUACGUGUAGCCGGACUGAGAGUACCUGAAGAAAAAGCAUCGGCUAACUCCGUGCCAGCAGCCGCGGGAAUACGCAGGAUGCGAGCGUUAUCCGGAUUUAUUGGGUGUAAAGGGUGCGUAUGCGGCAUGCCAAGUCAGCGGUAAAAUCGCGGGGCUCAACCUCGCUCCGCCGUUGAAACUGGCGUUCUUGAGUGGGCGAGAAGUAUGCGGAAUGCGUGGUGUAGCGGUGAAAUGCAUAGAUAUCACGCAGAACUCCGAUUGCGAAGGCAGCAUACCGGCGCCCAACUGACGUUGAGGCUCGAAAGCGUGGGGAGCAAACAGGAUUAGAUACCCUUGUAGUC